AUAUUGCUCAUAGUACCAUUCAGGGAUUUAUGACCACUUCCUUGUGCUCCCCGUUGGUGGAAAUCCAUUCCUUGAGACAAUAAUCCAAUGACUGUCUCUCUCUCCACAUCCAAUGAGUUUGGAUCUUCUGGCAGUGGUGGUAAGUGGUUGCCAUGGAGAAUAUUGCUGGAGGCGUGGUCAAUCAAAGAGAAUAUCUUCUGGGUUGAUGAAAAGCACGCUUGCAUUUAGGGAGCAAUCUGGGUUUAUUCAUCUAUGGGCUACCUGCGUUGAAGAAACAACUAGAAAAAUGAUCUAAAGAAAUUGAUCCUCAAUCAUCUGGCAAAUACAAGAAAGAAGAAGUGGGUUCUUGUGCAAGUUUAUAGUUUACAGAGAAAAUGGACGUAGUGGAAAUGGCAAUGCCAAAAGAGUAUGGAUAUGUGUCUCUUAUUCUUGUAGCCUAUGCCCAAUCUCUGGAUGGCUCAUUAGGUUGGCAAGGCCCGCAAGAAGUACAAGGUUCCAUAUCCUACCCUUUAUGCUCUAGAAUCUGAAAGCAAAGAUGCUAAGCUCUUCA
rnacentral:misc_RNA from 1 species